CUAGCGCAAUGGUAGUGCGUAUCACUCCUAAUGCUGUGGCUUCGGGUUCGAAUCCC
rnacentral:tRNA from 1 species